rnacentral:rRNA from 1 species
UUCCGGUUGAUCCUGCCGGAGGCCAUUGCUAUCGGAGUCCGAUUUAGCCAUGCUAGUCGCACGAGUUCAGACUCGUGGCAGAUAGCUCAGUAACACGUGGCCAAACUACCCUAUGGACAGGGACAACCUCGGGAAACUGAGGCUAAUCCCUGAUACAGCUCUCAUGCUGGAGUGCAGAGAGCUGGAAACGCUCCGGCGCCAUAGGAUGUGGCUGCGGCCGAUUAGGUAGACGGUGGGGUAACGGCCCACCGUGCCGAUAAUCGGUACGGGUUGUGAGAGCAAGAGCCCGGAGACGGAAUCUGAGACAAGAUUCCGGGCCCUACGGGGCGCAGCAGGCGCGAAACCUUUACACUGCACGACAGUGCGAUAGGGGGACUCCGAGUGCGAGGGCAUACAGUCCUCGCUUUUCUGUACCGUAAGGAGGUACAGGAACAAGUGCUAGGCAAGACCGGUGCCAGCCGCCGCGGUAAUACCGGCAGCACGAGUGAUGGCCGCUAUUAUUGGGCCUAAAGCGUCCGUAGCUGGCCAGACAAGUCCGUUGGGAAAUCCACGCGCUCAACGCGUGGGCGUCCAGCGGAAACUGUCUGGCUUGGGGCCGGAAGACCUGAGGGGUACGUCCGGGGUAGGAGUGAAAUCCCGUAAUCCUGGACGGACCACCUGUGGCGAAAGCGCCUCAGGAGAACGGAUCCGACGGUGAGGGACGAAAGCUAGGGUCACGAACCGGAUUAGAUACCCGGGUAGUCCUAGCUGUAAACGAUGCCCGCUAAGUUUGGUACAGGCUACGAGCCUGUACUGAGCUGUAGGGAAGCCGUGAAGCGGGCCGCCUGGGAAGUACGUCUGCAAGGAUGAAACUUAAAGGAAUUGGCGGGGGAGCACUACAACCGGAGGAGCCUGCGGUUUAAUUGGAUUCAACGCCGGA